CUCUUUAAAAAUCAACCAGAAAAAAUAUCCUCAUUUCUCCAGUGAGGAUUUAAAAAAAUAAUAAUAAUAAGGAACCUAGGUUGAAUUUGACUCCAAGAGAGCUUUGUAUGACCGCCCCCCAGAACUGGGCAAAGGUAUUCAGGACCUCAUAGGAAGGAGUCAGGCAGCCACAUGAGACUGCCUGCAUCCCCUCAUUUGUGUUUUCAUUUAUUUGUGUAUUUAUCAAACACAUUGAGCAUGCUGUUUGUCAGGCUCUCUGAUAGGAAUGCAGAGCUGAAUCAUGUGAUCCCUCCUAAGGAGAUGCGUUGGGUUCAGGAGUUCCUGUGGUUAGCUGAAUCAUGUAUAGGCACUUUGAAUUUGAGGAGACCACCACCUCCAGGCUUCCUGGAGAAGGUCGGAUUGGAACUGGGCAUUAAUAAAUCGGUAGGAUUUGGUCAGGCACUAGGAACAGGGCCUGGGCACUAGGAGCAAAGCCCGGGCUCUAGGGACAGACAGUUGCAGGUUCUAGUUCCGUUUUUUAAAAUUCAGAGGUAGAAAAAAUAAUUCCUAGAAGAAAUGGGUGUAGGAAACAACAGUAGAGGUAACAGAAGGGCUCUAGGCGCUUGGGAGCAAGGAAGGUAAUGGUAAUGCCCUUGGGCGGGGGUGGGAAGUGCAGGUGUGCUUCCAGGAGGGAGAGCCCUAGUCCCAUUUUUUUAAUCACUCGCUCGUGUGACAUUGGGCAAGUCAUUUGACCUUUCUGUGCCUCACUGUUUCCUCAUCUGUAAAAUAGGGCUAACAGUAUUACCUACCUCACAUAGGUUUUAAUGAUGUCAAGCUUCUCACUGGAGGCCUUACCCCUGCCUGGAGCCCACUAGGUGCUGAACCCUCAGAAUACAGCCUUCUCAUGUCUGGAUCCCUGAGGGCUCCUGAUCCCAGUUGUUAGGAACAGAAGGAGCCUCCAAAUCUGGGAGAUGCUGAAUGUCCUGGUUACUAGGAAAGUCCUGGGCACUGAUGGGGGAGGGGUUACCUGGUACGUGGACGGCCUAAGGAAAUCUGUAGCUUCAAUCGUAUAUAAUAACUGGGUGCCCGGGCCCCAACCUGAUUGUGAGGAAGUAGGGAGAGGUGGCCUGGGCCACACCCUAGCCAAACACAUUGAUGUUCGUUUUGGGAACUAGCUGCAUUAGCUGCAGGGACCGUGCUGGGCACAGCCUGCUGCCACGAGGUCAGUCUGCGCUUGUUCACACACACCACCAGACCGUUACCCUGUCCUGAUCUGCAUACUGCAUAGUUGUUUUUGAAAAGUUAAGUCAGUUCUAAUUGCUCAAGUCAUCCGCGAAUCCACUCUUUUUAAGAAAUUAGAUGAUUACAAAUAAAGGUAGCCUCGCUCGCCGCCAUUUUCCUUCCCUCCCUUAACUGCUGUUCGUUUGUUGUACAUCUUUCUAUCUAGACUUUAAGAUUUUUACAUAUACUAAUUCGUUGGAAGUGUUACUGUGUUUAAUGCAGACGAUAUAUAUGGACAUUUCCUGCAAUUUGCUUUCUUGGCCUAAUGCUUUUGGGAUCAGUGCAUGUUGCUAAUCGAUUCAUGUCAUCCUUUGUAAUCACUGUAUAGAUCUCUGUCAUAAGACUAUUUUAUGGUUUUGAUAUUACAAAAUACAUAGGAGCAUUGUGUGUGUGCGUGUGUGUGUGUGUGUGUUUGUGUGUGUGAAUAUUUACCUGUGAUCAAUGCCUAAAAAUUGAAUUGAAAAAGUCAUAGGCUAUUUAUAUUUUUGUUUUUAAUAGAUACUUCCAAAUUGCCCUCCUGUACCACUUACUCAAUAUUUUUCUUCAGUUUGUCUUAGUUUUAACAUCAUGAACUUCAAUUUUCAUCCUAAGUAGUGAUAUCAUGAAAUCACGGGUUUUAUGUGUUGUUACGUUGUUUUUUAAUGCAUAUUAAAUGGUAUAAUCAAAACAAA